ensembl:snoRNA SNORD83 Small nucleolar RNA SNORD83
GCCAAAUGAUGUCAGAACAGACUUCAUAGCUUCUUUGUGCAAGGAUGACGCACAUCUAUCACCCAAGGCUGAUGGCU